rnacentral:rRNA from 1 species
UAGGGAAUCUUCGGCAAUGGACGAAAGUCUGACCGAGCAACGCCGCGUGAGUGAAGAAGGUUUUCGGAUCGUAAAACUCCGUUGUUAGAGAAGAACAAGGACGUUAGUAACUGAACGUCCCCUGACGGUAUCUAACCAGAAAGCCACGGCUAACUACGUGCCAGCAGCCGCGGUAAUACGUAGGUGGCAAGCGUUGUCCGGAUUUAUUGGGCGUAAAGCGAGCGCAGGCGGUUUCUUAAGUCUGAUGUGAAAGCCCCCGGCUCAACCGGGGAGGGUCAUUGGAAACUGGGGGACUUGAGUGCAGAAGAGGAGAGUGGAAUUCCAUGUGUAGCGGUGAAAUGCGUAGUUAUAUGGAGGAACACCAGUGGCGAAGGCGGCUCUCUGGUCUGUAACUGACGCUGAGGCUCGAAAGCGUGGGGAGCAAACAGG